rnacentral:rRNA from 1 species
GACGAACGCUGGCGGCGUGCCUAACACAUGCAAGUCGAGCGAAUGAAGUUCCUUCGGGAACGGAUUUAGCGGCGGACGGGUGAGUAACACGUGGGCAACCUGCCUCAUAGAGGGGAAUAGCCUUCCGACAGGGAGAUUAAUACCGCAUAAGAUUGUAGUACCGCAUGGUACAGCAAUUAAAGGAGCAAUCCGCUAUGAGAUGGGCCCGCGGCGCAUCAGCUAGUUGGUGAGGUAACGGCUCACCAAGGCGACGAUGCGUAGCCGACCUGAGAGGGUGAUCGGCCACAUUGGGACUGAGACACGGCCCAGACUCCUACGGGAGGCAGCAGUGGGGAAUAUUGCACAAUGGGGGAAACCCUGAUGCGGCAACGCCGCGUGAGUGAUGACGGCCUUCGGGUUGUAAAGCUCUGUCUUCAGGGACGAUAAUGACGGUACCUGAGGAGGAAGCCACGGCUAACUACGUGCCAGCAGCCGCCGUAACAC